rnacentral:rRNA from 1 species
CAGCCGCCGCGGGAAUACGAGGGGGGCAAGCGUUGUUCGGAAUUAUUGGGCGUAAAGGGCGCGUAGGCGGUUUGACAAGUCUGAUGUGAAAUCUCUGGGCUCAACCCAGAGUCUGCAUCGGAAACUGUCGAGCUUGAGUAUGGGAGAGGUGAGUGGAAUUUCCGGUGUAGCGGUGAAAUGCGUAGAUAUCGGAAGGAACACCUGUGGCGAAAGCGGCUCACUGGACCAUUACUGACGCUGAGGCGCGAAAGCUAGGGGAGCAAACAGGAUUAGAUACCCGCGUAGUCCCUGUCUCUUAUAC